GGAGAGAUGCCAGAGCGGUUGAAUGGGGCGGUCUCGAAAACCGUUGGCCACGCAAGUGGCCCCAGGGUUCGAAUCCCUGUCUCUCCGCCA
rnacentral:tRNA from 1 species